rnacentral:lncRNA from 1 species
AAUGGUUUAAUUGAAAAAUUAUUGUGUUUUAUGGGAAAAUGGGAUUUUAUAAAAUAAUUUUAUAAAAUUUUUGAAAAUUUAAUAAUGAUUUCAAAAAUAGAGUAAUUGGAGACCUAUAUUAUGAUUGUGUUGUUUAUCCAUGAUUUUACAUUAAAUGGCUUAUGAUAAAUGUGGGUGUGACUAGUUAUUUUUAUGAUUUAAAGAAUAUGUGAACUGUUUUGAUUUGCCUUGAAUGUGUUAAGUGAGCCAUGUCAUACUAUUGUGAUUUUAUUGGUUGGUGGAUUAUAAAGUAGGCACUGCAGUGACGGGGGUUU